rnacentral:rRNA from 1 species
GAUGAACGCUGGCGGCGUGCCUAAUACAUGCAAGUCGAGCGAACAGACGAGGAGCUUGCUCCUCUGACGUUAGCGGCGGACGGGUGAGUAACACGUGGAUAACCUACCUAUAAGACUGGGAUAACUUCGGGAAACCGGAGCUAAUACCGGAUAAUAUAUUGAACCGCAUGGUUCAAUAGUGAAAGACGGUUUUGCUGUCACUUAUAGAUGGAUCCGCGCCGCAUUAGCUAGUUGGUAAGGUAACGGCUUACCAAGGCAACGAUGCGUAGCCGACCUGAGAGGGUGAUCGGCCACACUGGAACUGAGACACGGUCCAGACUCCUACGGGAGGCAGCAGUAGGGAAUCUUCCGCAAUGGGCGAAAGCUUGACGGAGCAACGCCGCGUGAGUAAUGAAGGUCUUCGGAUCGUAAAACUCUGUUAUUAGGGAAGAACAAAUGUGUAAGUAACUAUGCACGUCUUGACGGUACCUAAUCAGAAAGCCACGGCUAACUACGUG